GCUCGAAGCGAUCGAAAACGUCUGUGUUGUGACUCCGUUGUUUUAUCCUUUUUGUCGUAAAGAACGCUUGACAUGCGCAUGUUGCAGACUGAGAGUGCUUCUAUAAGAACAGACUUGCAGGGCUUCAGAGGUGUGCCUUUGGAGGUGCAGUCCACUUGGCUCACUUCAAUGCUGCGAGGCUAGAAAUCUUUGUGGGCUGCUGACCACCUGCAAGUGUGUGUUGCCAUACCUUUGUCUACAGUGAAUUACAUACUGCAUCACGCAAGCUUUGGGCAAGCAACAUGACAUUGCACCUUUGAUAUGUGCCGUGGUUUGCCAUAAGUACCAAACGCCCAACUGGUAAUGCAAAGGCAAAAUUGACGGAAUAUCAGUGGAGUAUUGUUGUGAUUGGAAAGGGCACUUUUCAAAAUGCAGGUGUCAUUCAACAGUUACAAAUUGGGAACAUGAAAAUACACACAUGCACUUAUGCAGUACCGAGUCAUUCUAUUUCACAAUGCCUGAUUGACUCCCAAUUGUUGCAUAAGGAAAUAAAAAAGACCAUGUGGAGUCUGGCAAUGUUCGUGGACUCCUGAGGUGGCUGCUAUUUGUGCGUGAGCGUACACCCUUGAGUGCAUGGCUACUGUGAAACUUUUUCGGUGCUCAUGUGCACUGAGCCUUGCAGGAAGAUGCAAGUAACUGAACUUCAAGGAGAUCUUGGCUACCCACUGGAGCCCUGGUUAAUGACUCCCUUCCGAAAUCCUGCAUCAGACAAGGAAGCAGCAUAUAACAGGGCUCACAGCAGGACUAGAGUCCGAAUUGAGCAUUGCUUUGGAGUGCUCAAAAUGCGGUUCCGGUGUCUACAGAGGUACCACACACUUCACUUUGCACCGGACAGAGCCUGCAACAUUAUCACCGCCUGUGCUGUCCUACACAAUAUGUGCAUUGCAUACAACUUGACUGAGCCUGCAGACGAUCCUGAGCCAGCAGGUACAGAAAAUGCCAGUGACACCUUGCCAGUGACAGGAGAUGAAACCAGCGAGGAGGAAGGACAGAGCAGUCAAAGCAACUCUCUGACAUCGCAGGCGAUGCAUGUGCGCGAGACAAUUGUCGACAGAUAUUUCUAACAGCCUGUCAGAAAAUGUGUGCUUCAUCGCAACUGCUAGUUUCUAUACUACUAUUAUCCUUAAUAUUUGCUUGAUGAGCAGCAUAUCGUUUCUCAUGCUGCAUAAUUGCUCUUGUAAAGGUCUAAUGCACAGGCUUACGUAACAGUGAUUGCAAAAACAAAUCACGUGGUGUUUUAGGUCAUUCUGGCUGUCCCUUUCAGCAUAAACACAAGGCGUUUACAAUGCAGAAAUAGAGAUGAUGUGAAGUGAGCACCCUUUUGAAUUUAGUAGUGUGACAACAAUCGCACGUGAACAUAGGUUCGGUAGUAGACAAAUUCCUAUAAACGUGGCACCUUAAGUUUUACAGAGGAAAAAUACAUGCAACUACAAGGGGCAACCUAGUAGACAAAUGUAGCUGGAAGUGAACCAGUGGUAAUCAUGUUUUGCAAGUCUGGCUAACCUAAGAGUCCUGAGGAUGAAACUUACCUCAUGCUUGCGUGCCUCUUUCUCUGCUUAGCAACAACGUGACGUACUCGGUCAUUGGGCCAAUGAGGGGCGUAAGCAACUGUGCAUAACAAUCCAAAACUUAUGAAAUGUAAUUGUAACAGCAAGGGUUGUCUCAGUAAAGCUGUGUCUCAGGAGCUGUGAUUGUGCGGAAGCCAUUCAAUGAAAUGUCAAGAGCAGCAUGGUGCCAAUGAUAUUUUUACCUCUCUUAGCUGCGCCACCUCAUUAGUCAGCCGUUCCUGCACGCUGACUCUGCGUUCAGCUACAGGAAGGGGGACCCUUCUGCGUCUGCGGCGACGUUCUUGACGUGGCCGCUGCACUCGAGGCUCCCCUGUCGAAGUUUGCGGCCUAGUGACGUUGGUCGCUACUGGGUUAGGAGGAGAGGUGGAGCUGCUUGGUCCCGCGGUGUCCUUUAACAUAUAUUUUAUCAGUCUCCACUUGCUUGUGACAUGUCACCUCUUGUGUACCAUGAUUCGAGGAUUGUCCUGACUCUGGAUGUCCUCUGCAGGCUGGGGACAGAUCUGCAAAACGGCACACUGUGUUACAUAACAACAGCAGUGUUUAUCUUCGAGUGCUUUGUAAAUAGAUAGUGGCCUGUAUAGUGUGCAAUAAAGAGUGUGUGCUACACCAACAAAGUGCGCCUCUACAACAACAAAAUUCCGCAUUUUCUGUC